rnacentral:rRNA from 1 species
CCUUCGGGGUUAGUGGCAGACGGGUGAGUAACACGUAGGUAAUGUACCUUCUUGCUGGGGAUACCUACCCGAAAGGGCGGUUAAUACCGAAUGGUCUCGCGCUGCGGCAUCGCGGUGCGAGUAAAGUGUUUUAGCGCGAGAGGAUCAGCCUGCGGGCCAUCAGCUGGUUGGUGGGGUAACGGCCUACCAAGGCAUCGACGGUUAGCCGGUCUGAGAGGAUGAUCGGCCACACUGGAACUGAGAGACGGUCCAGACUCCUACGGGAGGCAGCAGUGAGGAAUAUUGCGCAAUGGGCGGAAGCCUGACGCAGCGACGCCGCGUGAGGGACGAAGGUUUUCGGAUCGUAAACCUCUGUUAAGCAGGGAAGAGAACGGACGGUACCUGCUGAGGAAGCAUCGGCUUACUACGUGCCAGCAGCCGCGGUAAUACGUAGGAUGCGAGCGUUGUCCGGAUUUACUGGGCGUAAAGAGCUUGUAGGCGGGAAUGCGCGUCUUCGAUGAAAUUGCACGGCUUAACCGUGCAGCUAUUGGAGAUACGGUAUUUCUUGAGGGCAGAAGAGGAGAACGGAAUUCCCAGUGUAGCGGUGAAAUGCGUAGAUAUUGGGAAGAACACCGGCGGCGAAGGCGGUUCUCUGGUCUGUCACUGACGCUAAAGAGCGAAGGCGUGGGUAGCGAACGGGAUUAGAUACCCCGGUAGUCCACGCGGUAAACGAUGGAUACUAGGUG